rnacentral:lncRNA from 1 species
GGCCGAUGGAGCGAUAAAUGCCAAAAAAAAAAAAAAAAAAAAAAAAAACAUUUAUCGGUGGUAAAUUGUCGACCGACGAUAGAAUAGCCACAGUUGUCAAUGCCGAGUUGUCUUUAGCCAUUUUCAUUUUAUCUAAAAAACUUCUUAUUAACAACGUAAGUUAAGCCCGGAUAAAAUGUAGGUAUUUUAAAUCCUGCUGAUAAACUUUUGUUGUAAUUAUCUGACAUUAUUCGGGCACAAGAUGGCAAAAUUCCUUACCAUUUUCUUCAACCCCGAAACCACUUUCGAAUUCCGGCCCUAAUAGAAAGAGCGCUACGAAGAUUUUUUUUCCACAUAUCUUUUAUCUCUAAAUACUUAAACACAGUUGCCAGACGGCUAUUUUUUCUUUUGUUGACAAAAAAUAAACUUCCAAAUUAGUUUAAUGUCAUGGACGAGCGAUGAACCGCUUCCUCCAACGUAUCGACUUUUUAAAAUUUAUUACCAGCCCAUCCGGUAACCAGAUCCCAUUAGAAAUCUCGGAAUUAAUAGUAAAUAGUUUAUAAGAAAUCGUCUCUUAAAAUGUUAAUGCUCCGAGAUAUUCUGCCGGUACAGACCACGGGUUGACCAGUAUCGAAUAAGGAUAUUCUCUGAGAACAAAAAAAAGAAUAGCUAAACCCGUGUUAACUACCUGGCCAAGGCCACGCAUACGGGAUAAUGUUUUAUAAUUAAUAUAAAACCGUCUUCGUCCCGGAAGAGGUAGAGAUUAAGCGCGUUUGUAGCCUCUCGAAUAAUAAUUUAAAGUCAGCUUUAUGGUCGGUUGGAAGUUAUAAAUUGUCGACGAGACGUAAACUUAAUAAAUAAAGGAAAAAAAUUGGUUAUAUAAACAAAAUAUUCAAAAUAGGUCGAGGACGGUAUACGGUACACUGUUGGAACAAGCAGUUUGCAAAGAAUUUAUUGUCUCCCUUAAAUAUUAUCUCCUUAUAUAUCGGCUAUUUGGAAAGAGUGGACCGUGCCGAAUAAAUUACUGUCCAGAUUGACUUCGAAUCGUGGUCGGUGAAUUAUAUAAAAAUAUAUUAUUUCAAAAUUUAUUGAAACUUUUCAUUUGGGCCAACAUAAAACAGAUAACUUUACGGAAUUUUUUCCUUUCUAUAGUUGGAGCUCUUCCCAUUCCAGGGCAUCAGAAGGUCAAACUUACCGGGUUAAAAACUGGUCGCAUCGAGGUCAGCUUACCCGCCACCACCACCCGGCUAAUUUUCAUAAAAUUUUAAGAUGAUCGAAGGUCGAUACAAAAGGACUCAUCCUGGCCAUCUUAUCAACUUUUCUUUCGUUUUUUUAAGGCAAAGUGGGAUAAGAUGGUGGACAAAAAAUUCGAGUUUUGGAAUCCGGAGGCCGGAAACACUUUUUUCCGAUAGGAUUCCGAGUUAUUAUCCGAAGAAAACCAGGCAUUUUAAUGGGCCGAUGCCGAGUGAAAGAUUAUUUUGUUCGAUCGAAUAGAAUAUCCGAUAGAAAUUAAUUUGACGUUAGCCAAAUAAACUUGGAGAAUGUGAGAAAAAAUACAUAUCAUUGGCAUUUCUCCUAGUAAAAAUUAGCGAAAAAUGGACAUUAUUAUAACUCUUUCCCCGUUUCCACAUGGCAAAAAGUCGUGGAUAUUUUACAUAUUAAUUAUUUUAUAAUAUUUUCUCACAUUCGCUCCAAAUCGUAUCGUUUCCAGCUUAGUUAUUUUUACAUUUUCUGGAGACACUCCUACUGUACCGGAUAUGUCGGACGUAAUCUACUUAUCCUAGCCAUAUCGGUCGGAAGUUCGGAUGAUAUUUUUUUACGCAUUUCGAGCGGAAACCAGUUAAAAACUGUUACCUAAGAAAAAAUAACACUUUUAAUUGUUUUAGCCUAUUUUCCCAUUAUUCGCUGUAUUGUGUUUUUAUAAACAUCGAUGCUCGGUUAGACUCAAAGUUUGCCGAUACAAAAACAUUCAUUUUUUAAAAUACGAUAAAUUUUACCAAUUAGAAACUUGCGGUAUAAAAAUACAAUCAAAAACAUCUAAUAUAUGAAAAAAUUAAGUCAGAUACAAUACAAUUACCAUACACGUUAAAAUUUGGAUGCCACUACAGUACUUCGGUCGACCUUAUCGCUGUAUUUUCUUAAAUAGUCACUCCAGUAGCCGCAUCUAAAUUUUAACCAAUAUCCAAAUAUGGUAGGACUUGGCUUAUUUUUUACGUAUUAGAUGUUUUUGAUGAAACGCCAUCAGUUAUUUACACGAAAAUUAUUAUUUGAGACAGAGAUUCAAACAAUAUCUUGUUUUAAUAUACCAUUAAAUAUCCUCUUUAUUUUUAAACCCAUCGAAUCGAAAUUUUCAGGAAAUAUUUAGAUAUAUAAUAAACAUACAUAUAUUAAAUUUGGUGGAAAUCGGUCGAACCAUACCAUCUGUACAAGAGUUGUGAUGAAAAGAUCUCUCACUUGCUUCGUUUCACAUUUUUCGAAAAGCCUUAAAUAACGUAACUUCACAGGAUGACCCGCCAAACCAUCCAGUAUUUAUUUUAAUAAUAAAUUUUCGAUCGAAUAACCGAUGAUAUUUUCUAUCGUGCAAACAAGUACAGCCUUUGGUGGAGAUGGUCACUCUUCAUCGACACCGCUACUUAUCAAAAUGGCCAACCAAGAAAGAUCGACUGUUGAAUAAUGAGCAAAAAUAAUUUUGGUUUUUGCGGAAACGAGAAGUAUUAUAAUCAUACAGAAAUAGCUUCGUAUCCAUUUCCAAACAACACACAAACUUCAUAAACCGGCUUAAAUAAUGAUGGUUAGCUGUUGGAGAGGAAGCGUGACCAUGGCCAGAAAACAACUGCGCGUACUUUAUAGAACAUACGGGUUUGCUUUUACCAUUCCCACGGUUGGAACAGGAUGGAACCAGGCUGCACCCAGCCAAUGAGCUUGGUUUGGACUUUCUCCAUUGCAUUUUCGACUCGGGUACGAUCUCAAACCGUUUUCCCAAUCGAUUCUCAUCUGGCCCAGAAUAGCCCUGAUUUAAAUCCACUCGAUUACUUUCUUUGGAGAUUAAAAAAUAAACUUUUCCGAAAAAACCGCGAACAAUAACGGAAUGGCCAGCAUCUAUCAUCUACGCCCGUAACCAGAUUAGAGAAGAUACGCUCCGUCGAGUUAUCAUCACUCGGUUAUCGCAAACGUGGCAGUUGGUGUCGAAGACGUUUCCAGAUGUAUUCCAGAUUAAUUCGAAAUAUAGCUCGACGAUGUAACGCGUAGAGCUAUUUCUAGAAAAGAAGAUCAUCUUUCAAAUUUAUCCCAAUUGAGCUAAAAUUUUUCGGAAAAUUUUAAUCGAUCUAGGACGCGCCUAUAUUCUAAAUUUGGUCAAAAGCGGUUAAAAACGAUAUAUAUCGAGGUUUAUAGAAAACGCUUUUAUUUUAGCCCGACGGUGCCGAAAUAUUCACGGGACACAAAUAAUCUAAAAAAUAUUUAUAUCCAAAAUUUGACGAAUAGCGGUCGAACCAGGCCACCCGUAGAGGUUUUGGCCACGAGGUGCCAUGGCCAAAGGAGGCUAUGGUGAAAAAGACGUUUUUCUGGCUAUAUUUAACAAGUAGAGUUGUUUUUAUCAUUGGAUUUGAAGCUUCAAAUUUGGCCAACCACCUCCGAGUGAAUACUUUUCUCCAAUGUAAC